AAUUUAAAAUUUAAAAUCUAAUUAUAAUUUUAAAAUUUGAAUUUACAAUUGAAAAUUGAGUCUAAACUCAGUACUCACUUUUUCACUCUCCUCUCUAACUUUUAAAAAUUUAUAAUUUUUCCCUCAACAUUUCAAGUUGUUUAAUUUAGCCUCCCUUCGUCUGGUUCCAUCACUAUUCUGUUCAUUUUCUUAUAAUUUAUAUCGAAAAUAUCUUUGAAAUGACAAAAAUAUGUUAAAAAUUAUUUUUAUAGAAAAAAUAAGGAUAAUUUGGUCAUUUUGUCUUCUCUAUUAUAUUUGUAUCCUCUAAAAAUAUUUUUAAAAUUUUAAGAAGAUAAAAUAUAGAUUUUUAACAGUAAAAAAAAUAUGUACAGAAAAAUUUUCGAUAACUUAGUCCAAAUUUUAUAAUUCAUGUUACCAAACGCUCAGUUGAUCCAAAAAUUAUUUUUGAUCCCAAAAUUAUUUUUAAAAGCUAAACCAUAUACUUUUUUGGGUUAAUUUUAUACAGGUCUCCCAUGUAGCUUAAUUCACGUUCUUGCUGAAUGAAGCGGAUAGCGUGCUACCCUUCUCUCAAAAAAAAAUUUUAUACAGGUCUCUAUAAAGGUAUAAGUGAAUUGCAAAUAUAUUUUUAUAAAAUUUAACUUUCAUAUAUUAUUCUUGUAAAAAUCUUAAUAUUUUCAAAUAUGUCAUUCUGAUUUGUUACUUUUAAAAUACUGUUGAUUUUAUAAGUGAAAUAACUUUUCUGUCAUCAUAAAUAUGUCCUUCUAAANAUUUCACUUAUAAAAUUUAACUUUCAUAUAUUAUUCUUACAAAAAUUAUAAUAUUUUCAAAUAUGUCCUUCUAAAAGUUCUAACUAUUAAUUGAAGAGUGAUAAAAAGGUCAAUUCAUCUCAUUAACUAACUAGAGUUAAAUAUUUUAUCUAUGAUUAACUAAUUUUUUCUAACGGAUACUACCGCAGGUACAUAUUUGAAAAUAUUAUAAUUUUUAUAGAAAUAAUAUAUGAAAGUUGAAUUUUAUUAUAGAAAUAUAUUUAUAAUUUAUUAUAUUUGUAGGGAUCUAUAUAUAAUUAUUUUUAUUUUUAUUUUUAUUUUUUUAUUUUGGGUAUA
rnacentral:lncRNA from 1 species